UACAGAGGUGGCAAGCGUUGUUCGGAAUUACUGGGCGUAAAGGGCGCGUAGGCGGUUCGUUAAGUCCUGUGUGAAAUCCCCCGGCUCAACUGGGGAACUGCACAGGAAACUAGCGGGCUUGAGUUCGGGAGAGGGAAGCGGAAUUCCAGGUGUAGCGGUGAAAUGCGUAGAUAUCUGGAGGAACACCGGUGGCGAAGGCGGCAUCCUGGACCGGUAUUGACGCUGAGGCGCGAAAGCCAGGGGAGCAAACGGG
rnacentral:rRNA from 1 species